rnacentral:rRNA from 1 species
UACGGAGGAUGCAAGCGUUAUCCGGAAUUAUUGGGCGUAAAGCGUCCGUAGGUGGCUUUACAAGUCAGCUGUUAAAGCGUGGAGCUUAACUCCAUAAAGGCAGUUGAAACUGUGAGGCUAGAGUGCGGUAGGGGUAAGGGGAAUUCCCAGUGUAGCGGUGAAAUGCGUAGAUAUUGGGAAGAACACCGGUGGCGAAAGCGCCUCACUGGACCGGUACUGACGCUGAUGCGCGAAAGCGUGGGGAGCAAACAGG